rnacentral:rRNA from 1 species
CUACGGAGGGUGCAAGCGUUACUCGGAAUCACUGGGCGUAAAGCGCGCGCAGGCGGCUAUUUAAGUUGGAUGUGAAAGCCUACGGCUCAACCGUAGAACUGCAUCCAAAACUAUUUAGCUUGAGUGUGGGAGAGGAAGAUGGAAUUAGUUGUGUAGGGGUAAAAUCCGUAGAGAUAACUAGGAAUACCAAAAGCGAAGGCAAUCUUCUGGAACACUACUGACGCUGAGGCGCGAAAGCGUGGGGAGCAAACGGGAUUAGAAACCCUAGUAGUCC